CUACGGGGGGCUGCAGUGAGGAAUAUUGCACAAUGGGGGGAACCCUGAUGCAGCAACGCCGCGUGGAGGAUGACGCAUUUCGGUGUGUAAACUCCUUUUAUAUGUCAAGAAAAUGACGGUAGCAUAUGAAUAAGCACCGGCUAACUCCGUGCCAGCAGCCGCGGUAAUACGGAGGGUGCAAGCGUUACUCGGAAUCACUGGGGGUAAGGACGCGUAGGCGGGUUGGAAAGUCAGGUGUGAAAUCCUACAGCUUAACUGUAGAACUGCACUUGAAACUUCUAAUCUAGAGUAUGGGAGGGGGAGAUGGAAUUAGUGGUGUAGGGGUAAAAUCCGUAGAUAUCACUAGGAAUACCUAAAGCGAAGGCGAUCUCCUGGAACAUUACUGACGCUAAGGCGUGAAAGCGUGGGGAGCAAACAGGAUUAGAUACCCGUGUAGUC
rnacentral:rRNA from 1 species